CAGAUAGCAGACUCCUUGAAAGCAGGGUCCUUGUUUAGUGCAUCUUUGCCCACAUACACCACAACAUAUCAAGAUGCAUUUAUUAGGAAGGAGGAGUUUAGAGAGCAGGCUAUCAGAAUAACCACUCAUCCUGUGCCUCCUGAUUGCUGAGUGUUCACCUGGACCUUCUGACUACCUUCCCUGUGCUAUUCCAUCAGCCUACAGACCUGGUACCUGGAUUUUUGCCCGAGAUGAUUCCUACCACCUUACUACUGACGAAGACACCCAUUCCAGUGGACCACUGUGACCCAGGAGGCAUUCAGCCAUCAUGAUGUGGCCUUUACCUCCACUCCUGUCUUGUUCUACCCAGAUUCAGCACAGCCCUUUAUAGUGAAGUCAGAGUCCUCAAGCCAAAUAGCUAAAGCUGUUUUAUCACAACAAAGGCCUAGUUUGUUCCAUGAGUGUGCAUUUCAUUUCUUCAGUUAAAGCCUUCAGAGACACACAAUAAAUUUGGACCAGGGGAUUUUUUAGUUAUUAAUGCUCUCUGAAGAAAGGCAACAUCUUUUUGAGAGCAGCAUUGGACCACACCCCACAAUCUCAAAUGAUUGAAAUUCAUGAACAUCUAGGAUCCCGUGAAGGUCACUGGACCCUGUUUUUUCUACUUCAAAUCCUGUAGUAGCCUACUGAAUGAGAAAACAUAUUCUGACCCAUUGGGAUCAAAUCAAAGGCACAGUGAACUCCUCAUAGCAUCUUCUUUGGAAUUACUCAGGAACCAGAACUUUUUACACAAAUGUAAGAAAUUCUACCAAGGAGUCCCCUUACCUAACAGCAUCUCACAAGGCUGCACCAGAUUCCAGAAAAGGCUUCUCUUGAUACAUCAAGGUAGAACCUCUAUGCAUUUUGUGACCGACUUAUUCUUAGAUCAUUGGUUUUCCAAAGGCUUUGUGGCCAUGAAGCCCUUUGAGUGAAAACUGUGCAGAAGCCCAGAGUAAAAGUGAAGCUGCUCUGGAUGAAGUAGUGAAGCAAGAGUAGGGGCCUGAAUCCUGCUACAACUAUCUUCCUUUACCACCGUGGUGACACCUAAGGGGACUUCCUUACAACACCUUGAACUCUUCCGAACACAGUUUGAAAACCACUGCCCCAGACAGCAAUAUGUUUGACCUGAAUGGCAUUCCAAUCUUUUCUGUACCUCCACUCAGCACAGUUCAUGUUCAGUAGAUGCUGAACAUUCUUAGAAAUACUGUGUGUGAACUUAGAAAAGUGCAAGAAGACAGGCAUGUCUUUGACCCCAGGAAUGAUCAUUUGCUGAAGAUGGUGUCAAGUGAACCUAGAUUAACAGCCCUCCACUCCAGAUGGAUAUCCAGUGAUUCCUAGAAUGGGAUAUAGCCAGAGAACAAUUCUAUGCACCCUACACUGACAGACUCCCUUAAGCAACACCAGAUGCUCUACUGGUACUUGAAGUACAUGACUUUGAAGUCUUGACCCUCCAUGAAUACCUGAAUUAUCAGCAAGCGGGUUUUGAAGCUGGUGCCUCAUUGAGGCCAUAUUAGAGCAACUUGUACAUUUGACCUCUUGUUAUCAGCCAUGGUACUCUACUUCGUGUGCAAGAGAUAACUAUGAAAGCCAAAUUCAAAUACUGGCAACAUUUCCUAAAGGGGCUCAAUAUCUAUCAUUCGUCUUCUUUUCCAAACUACACAUCACUGUAUGACUCAACCAGUAGCAGUUAUAUUGCCCCUUGGUUUUUAUUCAGUUUAACUACUGUUUCCAAGAUAAAUGAGCUAAUAAGCUUUAAAAAAAAAAAAAAAAAAGGCUGAAUUCUUUUUUCUUCAUCACUGGCAUAUCUGCCUAUUCUCCAGAAUUAUUAUGACUAUUCAGCUCACUUUAACAGUUGAACUUCAAGCGACAAUCUUUGAACACCCCUUCUCAUGUGAUUUAAAAUGAAACCAUUUGGAAAAGUUUCUUCUAGCCAGUAAUAGAUUUUUUUUUUAAUUGCUCUGCCUUGUGCCGAGAGAUGUUCUUUUAAGAUGAAUCUUUUGAUGUCUGAUACCACCAAAUAUAGGUGGUAGGGAGAGUUGGAGGCUGGCCCUUUGAGCAGGCCAUUAGCUUACUUGCUGGGCAUUUCCGAUAGCUUAUUGCCUACCUUUUUGCUGGAAACAAACUGAUUUGAAAAACAAAAUCUAUGAAGACUGCAGCUAAGGAUUUUAUCGGUAGACUUAAGAGCUUUUGUCCUUGUGGAUAUUUUAGUGGAACCACAUCAGUCUCAAUACUGUCAUUUUACACUGACUCAGAGCAGCUGACUUCAUUCCUUGCCAUGAUAUAUAUUUAAGGCAGGCAUUGUAACAGACAUAAAGACAACUUAUCUGUUUCAGCAGGAAGGAUUCAGUUUAUGAACUCUCAGACCAGAUCAUGUUGAACAAGGAGACUUUGAUGUGUGUCAUGAGAAAACUCAUUCUUUACUUCCCAGUCAAUUUAAAGGCCAGCUAUCCUGAGCUACUCGAAUGAAUGCACUGGUUAAACAUUGGAAAUAGUUUGUUUAUAUCCUUGUCUCUCUCUAGGCCAAUUGUGAUUACAUGACUCGACUCUACAUCUCGUCAAACAAGGCCUAGGUCUGGUUGCUGUAGACUGCUCGCCCUCAACAAAUAAAAUCUGGUUGACUAGCCUCCUUGUAUAUACAACUAUUAUUUGUUAAGAAGAAAUUAUCGUCAAUUUUCUACUACCUUCCAAUUGUCAGCUCUUUUUUUCCUCUCUGGUUUUUCCUAUACUUUACAGAAAAAGACAUUGAUCUAUACUGCCAUUCCCUCUAAUCCUGCCAUACUCAGUCAAAAGGAAUGACUUAAGAUGAAGAUGAUCAUCUGCUCGAGUCUAAAAUAUACAUUGUAUAUAAGAAUUGGUGAUUAGAAAAGCAAAAAACCUAAAACUUAAAUCUAGGAGUCUGUAUACUGUCUCCAUGUCUCCAUGCCUCAGAUCUCAUCUAAAUCUUUGAACAGCACCAUUCAACCAAUCUGAGGCCUUGACUUGCUUGUAAGAUGAUUCUCAGAGAUCGGCUGAGUUAAAAAAGAUGACGACUUGAUUACCAAAGAAAGUAGGGCCAACUUUGACAAAUCUGGCUCUGCUGACCCUGUCACUCCCAGAUGUAGCAUAGACUCCUAAACAGAACCUCAAGUCUGAUUGAGGAUAAGGCCUUCUCCUGAGCUGAAAGUUCUUUGGCAGAUGAGCAAGAAACUGAAAGCUGAUGUACCUGACUGGCUCUGUAAGAUCAGAAAACUGUAUCCAGAAUAAGCCCUAUGGAUUAACCCCUGAGUACCCAGAGUAAAAACUAAUUUACAGAACUUCCUUAUUGAUCUGCUGGUUCUUCCAGAUCAUAUUCUGGCUAUUGGUAUGGCUGGCCUUUCUGAAGGUACCCUGCUUGUCUAUUUUCCUGACUCAGCUCUUGCCUGCCUUUUUCACAUGUUGCUGCAAUUAGACUCACCGUGAGGACUACAGUCAAUUUCAGUCUAUCUUGUGCCCAAUACAACAAGGAUUUUUAAUAGUAACAACCCACACCUCACCCACUAGGACUCAAUGUUCACAACAGGAAGGACCAUUGCUGCAUACUCCUUGACCAGCAACUUUUUUGAAGAUAUUUUUAAGUGCAGAGUAGGCCUCUAUUCCUGUAUGUAAUUGUUCAUUUUCAGCACCUGGAACCUCAUCUAUCGGGUCUGGAAGGAAUACAGCAGUUCGAAAGCCGCGUCCAUUUCUCUCCUUCAGUAGUGCAGAAAUGAGUCCGAUUCACCAGUACACACAGAACUGUACCAGUUCAACCUAGCAAAAGAAGAAAAGUUUCCACUGUACUUAAAAUUUACAGCUGACUCAAAUUGCCUCACAGAAUUAUUUGAUGUAGAAGGCUAGUUGUCUUACUUCAGAUCAGCAGGACAGUUGGGCUCUCAGACUCAUGACCACUGAGUUUGCUUGUGUUGAAACUGUGGUUUCAUCCAACAUAUGCUAUUGGACAUGAUUAUUAUUCCAUUCAAAUGGAUUACAGACUUCUUGAGGACAGGACAAACUUAUCUCUCAUGGUGUUUUUUUAGAAUACUUUUAUAACCAAGGAAGAAACCAUGCCAGCUGUUACCAUUCAACUUCUUAAGCAGAGAUUAAGCUUUUUCAUAUCUGUUCUUAUCCUGGACAUCAGUAGUUUUUAAUUGCCCAGCAUCCGUUCCAUCUUGUAACAACUCCCUGAUGUUUCUUAAAACCACCUCUUCCUAUUUUCAGUCUGUGGUUUGGACAGUCUGACCCAACCUUGAGCUUUGUGGGUGAACAUGUAAUUCAGACCUCAUCAAUCAGCAAAUCCAUCUGAACUGUGGAGGAGAAGCUCUCUUUACUGAGGGUGCUUUAGCUUUGUAGGAUGAAAACCUCAAACUAACAGGGCCUACCAUGUAGAGAAUGAAGCCAGUGCAGGGGAAAGCAGAGCCAAAAUAUGGAGAGACUUGAAUCCUGAUGACAGCGUUUGUGCCCCUGGAUCCAACCGUGCCUGAAGCUAGAAUAUCCCCUGGACUUUUCAGUUAUGUGAACCAAUAAAUACCCUUUUUUGCUUAAGUUACUUUGAGUUGGGUUUCUGUUACUUGAAAUUGAAUCCACACUAAUAUAUCUACCAACAUUGAGACUUGACAGAUCCAAGUAUUUAUUAAGCUAGAGGUCAUGGUCACUGAAAUUACUUUCCAAAGUGGAAGACAAAAUGAAACAGGAACUGAGGGAAUAUUUAAGAUCCCACAGAAGCGUAAAAAUGACAUGGUAGAAAGUAAUAGAAAACCUAAAUGUCUGUCAUUAAAGGAUAGGUUAAGGUGUGGUUCAGCCAUAUAGGAAUAUCUCGUAUCUGUUAAAAUGAAUAAAGUACAUUCAUUGUGUAUGGAAAAAUGGCCAUGAUACAUUAGGUGAAACAAGUUAUUAAUAGAAAAGUGUACAGUGUGAACUCAUUUUAAAAUGUGUGUGCUUAUGUUUAUAAAUGCAUAGAAAGGUCUAUUCACAGCUUUCUUUGAACAGUGUAGAUCACAUGAAACUUUCAACUUUAUACAUUUCUGUAUUAAUAUUUUACACUACCCACA
rnacentral:lncRNA from 10 species